AUGGAUUUUUUCGUGAAGGAAAAAUUGCGACAAUGGAAUUUCUGCCAGUUAAUUGAAACAUUUCAAGAGGAAGGAGUGGAUGAACAAAGUUUUAUGCUACUGGAUGACACCAGCAUUGCUGCACUAAUCCCAAGAAUUGGUCUCAGGGUUAAAUUCAAGAAGCUUCAUUCAGAGUUUUUGGGAUCUCUGGGCCAUAGCCCCAUCAACAAUCAAUCAUGUCCCAAUCAGCCUGUAAGGAAUGAACAACCAACACCAACUGAGACAAUAGUGGAAAGCUGCAAGAUGAGAACAACAAGCAACUCCACAUUUGUAAUUACGACUUGUGCUACACUUGAAUUUGAAUCCUAGACAAUUAUUUUAUGAUUGUUUGUCUAUACAUUCUACAUUCUUUUUACAGGAUAUACGAGAAAUACUUAGAAAAUCUGGAGGACCAGCGCUAAUAACAUCCUUAGAAAGGGACAGAUACCUAAGCCUCAAGGAGCAAUGUCAGAUGGUGUGGUUGUUGGUUUCUCAUAUGAUGGAGAGAUUUGGGGAAAAGUGAGUAGAAGUAUUAAAGUAUAAUCACUUGACAAAUUUUCUUUAAUAAAUAAAACUACACAAAUAAGGUCUAUAUGAAU
ensembl:lncRNA